rnacentral:misc_RNA from 1 species
GAUGAAGAACGCAGCGAAAUGCGAUAAGUAAUGUGAAUUGCAGAAUUCAGUGAAUCAUCGAAUCUUUGAACGCACAUUGCGCCCCUUGGUAUUCCGGGGGGCAUGCCUGUUCGAGCGUCAUUAUCACCCCUCAAGCUCAGCUUGGUGUUGGGGCCUGCCGUCAAGGCAGCCCUUAAAAUCAGUGGCGGCGCCAUCUGGCUCUAAGCGUAGUAAUUCUUCUCGCUAUGGAGUCCUGGUGGAUGCUUGCCAUCAACCCCCAAUUUUUCUAUGGUUGACCUCGGAUCAGGUAGGGAUACCCGCUGAACUUAAGCAUAUCAAUAAGCGGAGGA